rnacentral:rRNA from 1 species
AGUGAACGCUGGCGGUAGGCCUAACACAUGCAAGUCGAACGGCAGCACAGGAGAGCUUGCUCUCUGGGUGGCGAGUGGCGGACGGGUGAGGAAUACAUCGGAAUCUACUCUGUCGUGAGGGAUAACGUAGGGAAACUUACGCUAAUACCGCAUACGACCUACGGGUGAAAGCAGGGGAACUUCGGGCCUUGCGCGAUUGAAUGAGCCGAUGUCGGAUUAGCUAGGUGGCGGGGUAAAGGCCCACCAAGGCGACGAUCCGUAGCUGGUCUGAGAGGAUGAUCAGCCACACAGGAACUGAGACACGGUCCAGACUCCUACGGGAGGCAGCAGUGGGGAAUAUUGGACAAUGGGCGCAAGCCUGAUCCAGCCAUACCGCGUGGGUGAAGAAGGCCUUCGGGUUGUAAAGCCCUUUUGUUGGGAAAGAAAUCCAGCUGGCUAAUACCCGGUUGGGAUGACGGUACCCAAAGAAUAAGCACCGGCUAACUUCGUGCCAGCCGCCGCCGUAA